rnacentral:SRP_RNA from 1 species
GCCGGGCGGGUGGCGGGCGCCUGUAGUCCGAGCUCUCGGGAGGCUGAGGCAGGAGAAUGGCGUGAACCUGGGAGGCGGAGCUUGCAGUGAGCCGAGAUCGCGCCCACGCACUCCAGCCUGGGCGACAGAGCGAGACUCUGUCUCAAAAAAAACAAAAAAAAAAAAAAAAAAAAAAAAAAAAAAAAAUUUUUUUUGAGACAGAGUCUCCGCUCGUCGCCCAGGCUGGAGUGCAGUAGUGCGAUCUCGGCUCGCUGCAGCCUCCGUCUCCCGGGUUCAAGCGAUUCUCCUACCUCAG